GGGUUGUGAGGUUAAGCGACUAAGCGUACACGGUGGAUGCCCUGGCAGUCAGAGGCGAUGAAGGGCGUGCUAAUCUGCGAUAAGCGCCGGUAAGGUGAUAUGAACCGUUAUAACCGGCGAUACCCGAAUGGGGAAACCCAGUGUGACUCGUCACACUAUCAUUAACUGAAUCCAUAGGUUAAUGAGGCGAACCGGGGGAACUGAAACAUCUAAGUACCCCGAGGAAAAGAAAUCAACCGAGAUUCCCCCAGUAGCGGCGAGCGAACGGGGAGGAGCCCAGAGCCUGAAUCAGCAUGUGUGUUAGUGGAAGCGUCUGGAAAGGCGCGCGAUACAGGGUGACAGCCCCGUACACAAAAGCGCAUGUGCUGUGAGCUCGAUGAGUAGGGCGGGACACGUGGUAUCCUGUCUGAAUAUGGGGGGACCAUCCUCCAAGGCUAAAUACUCCUGACUGACCGAUAGUGAACCAGUACCGUGAGGGAAAGGCGAAAAGAACCCCGGCGAGGGGAGUGAAAAAGAACCUGAAACCGUGUACGUACAAGCAGUGGGA
rnacentral:rRNA from 2 species